UAUCCUUAUCUUGUCCCUAGCUUGAACUGGAUCUGCCUUUAGCAUUUCAGCAUUAAAUAUCAUGUUGAUACUGUUUUAACAAAGAUAUCCUUUGCUCUUUCCAGAAUUAUAUGCCUAGUUCUCCCUACCAAUUUUGGGGAAUCCAGAGUUUGUACCAAUGUGGGCACUGCUACUGUAUACGAAUGAUUAAACAACCAAAAAAACCUCCCAAUUGGAUAAACAAACUGCUCUAAACUCAGUCACUGCCAAUCAUGUAAAUUUGAAUGACUGAAUCCCUACUCUAUUCUUCCAAGCCUGAAACAAUCCAAAAGAAAGGCUGUCUAGACACCAAAUGGUGGUCAUAAAUUUCAUCUUCUCUUUUUCUGUUUCCUUUGUUAUUUUUAGUAGAAGUCUAUAAUAAGCACAUAAAUAAGCAUUUGGGAUUUUGUGAGAGACAGCUCAGAUUUUAAGAUUUAUGGCCUUUAUAUUAAGCACUUUGUACAUGUUUAUUUCACAACAAAAAUUUAACAUAAAAUGCCCUUACUAAUGAAGUGAAAAUUUGUUACUACUAGUCAGGAAAAUCAGUGGCAAAAAAAUGGUUUUGUGAUCAUGGCCACAUAAGAGUAAGUGAACUCUGACAAAGUAGGAUGGUAUCUACUUCACUCACCAUUAUAUAUCAUAUAUAUUACUAUGGGCUGGCACAUACUAAGUGCUCAGUAAAUAUCUGAUGAAUUAAAUUGAUUCAAAGAUAUAGAGAACAAUGUCCUGAAGUUGGGUCAUUGCACAAUGGACAUGACAGAAUUCAGGUUCUAUAUAAUUUUAAGAGGAUAUUAAUAGGUAUUUGUGGCCUGGCAGGAAGUAAUGCUUACAGUGCUAGGAAUUUUCUCUGAUUCAAUUCCACUACUAUUUUAAGUAGUAGGCACUAUCAUCAGCUACAUUCAGAAUGCCCAGGUGUUCAGAGAGGUUAAGGAACUUCCAGUCUAAAGGGCUCUGCCUCAUUUACUCUUUCAUCACCCUACCUAUUUCCUUCUAGUAGGUAACAAUAUUUAUGAUGGUCUUGUUUAUUUUUUCCCUUGUCAAUUAUCUGACUCUUGAGAGACGUAUAUUAUCUAACUUGUUCACAGCCACAUCGUGGUGCCUACAACAUAGUAAGUGCUCGAUACUUAUUGAGUGCAUUGAACGAAUGAGUGAAUGAGUUCAUGAGGUGACCUACCAUAAUAUUAGAAGUACCAUAAUACUAGAAGAAGAUUAACUUAGGUAAAGAGAACUACACAGGGUCACCAAACUAUGAAGAGAACUGGCAGCCCAGAAUUUUAAAUUUCAUGUUUAGUUUAUUCUAGUCUCAUACUCCUUGAUUAAAAACCUCCUCUUACUGUUUCAUUAUGGUGCUAUUGUUAUAUGAGGUACUUGAUGAUCAACACUAUAUUCUCUUCCAAAUUCUUUGCACUAAAUGCUUUUUAUUUUUUCUAGAAUUACAAGCACACAAGGAGUAAAAAGCUAUCACGCAGUCCAUUAUCCAGCAUCCAAGCAAAGCCUGGCCCAGAAAACAGAAAAAAAAUUUCAGAUUCAAGUGCAAGUAUUAUUUACACCAGUUCAACUGUGUUAGGAGCCCAGAACUAAGUUGCGAGUUUGGGCUACAGCUUUGCUUUACUCUAUAGUAGCUACAGAGGGUAGCCAACCAAUUAUCUUGAUAUGCAUUUUUGUCCUUAUAAACACUAUAUAAAAUAAAUCAGGUGAAUUAGAAAAAAAUCUCCAUCACUACUGAAUAAACAACUCAAGGAACACACUCCACUCAAGAAUAUAGCGAUCAUUUUAAGAGGUGUUUAUUGGCAGUUUUAAAUGGCCUAAUAAACUUUAUGUUAUGAUAAAAAAAAUCAGUGUAAAAAUUGUAUUUAUACUUCAAUAGAGAAGUGUUAAAUAAAACACUAGUAGGUCUAUGUGACGGAAUUGUAUGUGGCCAACGAAAAUCAUGUUUUAGAAGAUUUAAAGAAGGGAGAAAUGCUUUCAGUUCAUCUUCAUACCAGCCACGGUCCUGCCAGGAAGUAGAUGACAUGCUCAAGCAGGGUGCCUGACAAGACUGACUGCUGAAGAUGAUCUCAUGGCAGGACAAAUGGCCUCCAGGAGAAAAAUGAUGCCACUUCCAACCACAGCCAGGCAAGGAGGGAUCUCCUCUAUCUCCCUCCUGGGUGGAAGGCUGGGUGAGAGAGCCCACUGGUGGAGUCUACAGAGGUCAGCUUCCCAGAAUAGAGCUGGGUGGAGAAGGAUGGAGUGUGGGGCUGGAGGAGCAAAUAGAGAAUACCCAGCAUGGUAUGUAUGCCAAAAAAAAAAUCCGAUUGCAACACAGUAUUACAGUAGAAUUCCAAAUUUGUAAUUGUAUAUAUGGGUCAGAUUCCCUGUCAACAGUCUAAGCUGUGCAUGCAGGAAGUUUGCUGUCCAGUGCUCUUGGGAAUGGUGGUUGUGAGUGGGGAGGGAAGAAGGACUGGCAGAGCAGGAGGAUGAACCAUAAAGCAAUUACAACAGAGGCCAUGGCCAUUCCUAGAUAGAACUCUGGAACUAGGAUGGCCCUCCAGAGUCGUCCCAAUUGAGGCAAGAAGGCUGGGCUUCUGGUAGUCCCUCAACAACCAGUUAUUGAACACAGACUGCCCUGUGAGGUCAAGGGCAAUGCCUGAAUAGGGCCAUUAGCAGCUAACACUGCCAGCACCAAGAGAGUGUGUCAUCCUGAAAAGGGAAGGGGAGGGAAGCCACAAUGACUGCUAAGAUAGCACUUCACCAUGGUUGACUGGGUCAUAGAGUUAUUGUUAUUCUCCUGCUUUGUUUUUAAUACUUGUACAUUGUUCCAAAUGCUCUUUAAUAUAGGAGACAAUUGGCAAUCUUUAUCACAAUAUGUAUUAGUUUGAUCAUCAGUAAAUUUAUAGUAAAAAAUGGAAAAUAGUUGUUAUUGCUUGGUAAUCAGCAUACUGCAUACUCCUACAAGACUUAGAACAAACUUUUUUCCCCUGUAAUUCUAAGUCCCACUGCGAUGCAGAUAUAUAUGUGAGAAGGUUGGUACCCUUGGCUACACAUUCCAAAGAAUGACUAAGGGCUGAAGCCAGAGGUUCCCGUCAUGAUGUCUGGUAGUACUUCAGUAUAAUCAAUGUGAGAUUAAGUAGAUACCAGUUAGUUUAACUUUUAAUGCUAGGGUGGUUAGGUAAACUUGCUGUUAGGAUUCAUAACAGAGUGGUGAGCUGGCAUUACAUAAAAAAAAAACCAAGAUUCCAGAGCAUCUUCUACAAAUCUUUCAGAUCAACAAAUGACACUUUGCAAACUAUUAAUUUUUUUUUUUUUUUGGCCAAGCCCAUGGUAUUCAGAAGUUUCCAGGUAAGGAAUCAAACCCUUGCCAUAGCAGUGACCAAGCCACAGCAGUGACAGGGCUGGAUCAGUAACUGCAGAGCUACCAGGGUACUCCUUGCUAUUUUAUUAAAAAUUGGAUUUUGUUGGUCCAUCAGUGACUUAUUAAUCAAAACAAUAUGUUCAAAAUACAUUGGAGUUCUCUUGUGGCACAGGGUUUAAGAAUUUGGCAUUGUCACUGCAGCAGCUAAGGUCGCUGCUGUGACAUGGUUCAAUCCCAGGCUCAGGAACUUCCAUGUGCUGUGGACACAGCUAAAAAAGGGGGAAAAACUAUUACUGGUGAAAUUAAAAAUAGUCAAAAUAUAACUGUAAUGUAUACAUGUAAGGAUAACCUGACCGCCUUGCUGUACAGUGGGAAAAUAAAAAAAAUUAUUGAAAAAAAAAUAGUCAAAAUAUGUAGAUUGGGUUAAAUGAUUUAGAAACACCCCUCAAUCCCUGUAAAAACAUAAGAAUCCAGCAAACUAUGACAUGUAGUAUUAGAGGUAACAUUAGAGGUUCGAUUCUUUACUUGGUCCCUUAUUUAGCUACUGGUUUCAUAGUUCUGACUUCCUAAUCUUUCUCCCCCAGAAUGCCAUUGUCUGUCUUCAAUGAAUUUUGCAUACAAAAGGAAGUGUAAGCACUUAAAAGAAUUACACAAAGCAAUAGGAUACCUGUGAGGUUACAGAAAAUUUGAGCUACACUUGCCACUUACUUAUGAAUGCUUGAUUAAUAAAUGCCUUUUGUGUCCCUGAAUUUUGCCUGAAACCUGUUUUUAUUUUUAUCUGGUAGCAAGUUUGUGAGAGAGUAGCCAAACUCAGCACUUCCUACAUACUAUUAUCAUUUACAUUAUUCCCCAAAAAUGACCUGAGUCAUGCAUGCCUGAAUUGCCUUAGGCUCAUUUUGCAACAUGUACUCUGCUACCCAGGCCAAAUACAGAGGAUAUCAAAUGAGAUACUAUUCCUAUCCUUCCAGAACAGUCUACUGAUUCAGAAUUGAUUUACAAGGAGUUCCCACCUCAGUGGUUAAUGAAUCCAACUAGCAACCAUGAGGAUGCAGGUUCUAUCCCUGGCCUUACUAAGUAGGUUAAGGAUUCGGCAUUGCCAUGAGCUAUCAUGUAGGUCACAGAUGUGACUCAGAUCCUGAGUUGCUGUGGUUUAGGUCAGCGGCUACAGCUCCAAUUUGACCCCUAGCCUGGGAACCUCCACGUGCCGUGUGUGUGGCCCUGAAAAAAAGACAAAACAACAACAAAAAUUGAUUUAUAAGAAUAUAGUCACAUCCCAUUUCUAGGAGUAAGUGUAUUACAUUUUUCAUGUAAUAAUUCCCCUUUCACUCUACUAAUUCAUUACAAGAUGCUGGUAUUAAGUUCUGGCCAAUUCUUUAUCGGAUGUCCACAAACUACAGUCUGCAGGCCAGAUCUGGGCAGCCACCUGCUUUUGUACAGCCCCAAAGCUAAAACAGUUUUGAUGUAUUAAGACAGGAAAAAUGAAAAGAAUAUUCAUGGCAUAUAAAAGUUUUCUGUAAUUCAGAUUUCAGUGUCCAUAAAUAAAGGUUUAUUGGAACACAACUUCGUUCACUAGUUGACAUAAUCAUUUAUGGCUGCGUUUAUGCUACAAUGAGCAAGCUGAGUAGCUGUGACUGAGACUGAGGCAGGAGAUAGAUGGGUCCCAGGCUGAACAAUGCAAUCUGUCCUCUAUGGACAGAUACUCUGAGAUAAAGAUUACAGCUGGAGCAUGGAGGAGGUGCAUCCUGCUUGGAUUAAAGAUAAAGAGACCACAUAUUUUUCAUUCUUGAGGUCAAGGAGACCUCCCAAAUUACACAUGCACAGAAAGGUGUCAUAGAAGGCAGGGGGUGCCUGUCAACUUCCCAGAAACCCUUGCACUAGAAUUCAUCCUGGCUAAAAGAUGCACAUGUACAGAGGGGAGAGCCCUGAGUCAGGCCAAAUAUGGACUAAAGCAAGAUGACUGGCCAGAAGAAGCCUGGAAAGACUGCUCCUGUAUGAGUGAUUUAAACCAUCCCCAAAGCACAUGGCACUUUUUCUUUUCCUCUGUCUCCCUCCCCCCAGUCCCAGGCCACCUGUGCUUUCUUUGCACCUCUCUUCUCUCAUAAUAAACACUUUGUCUCACUACUCUCAGUCUCUUUCCCCAAAGGGACAAAGACUAGGGACCUAUAUCAAGCCUGACGGCACCUGAGGUCUAGUACUUAGGGUUCGGUACUCUUAACCCGUAGUCACCCCAAAUCAAGACUAUUAGGCCCACGAAGUCUAAAGUAUUUGCUAUUUGGUCCUCUACACACACACACACACACACACAAAAGUUGCUAACCUCCUCUUCUUGAUAGGAUAUACUGCCGAACAAGUCAGGAUACAGUCUCAAUUCUCAUGGUGCUUAGGUUCUAGAGAGAGAACACACAGAAAUACCCAACAGCAGUAAAUGCUAUGGAAAAUAGGGAUGAUGAAAAUAACUAGGCCUACUGAGAUGAGUCCAACAAAGUCCUCUGUGAGGAAGUGAUAUUUGAGGGGGGAACUGAAUGACAAGAACACAGCCAUGUGAAGAUGGAGAUUUCUCAGCUUGGAGUAGCAGCAAAGCAAAAAAGAUGGCCAGUGGAGCAGGUGUAAGGACCACAGAGGAAGAGUGAUAGCAGUUUAUAUAGCAGAGUCUUUUUGUUUCUAAAGACUGUAGGGGACAAUGAGAAUCUCCCUGGAACUUAGUGACAGCAGCUGAAGAAUCAUUAAUAACAACGUCCUCAACAUAAAGCACACCAUCAAAAGGGCAAACAGGCUAAGAGAUUCCACGAUUUCCCUCAAUUCACCCCCCCCACCCCCGCGGAGAAGGCAGCAAAUCUGCAAAAUUCCCCUCUCUUUCCACUUUUCUUCUCUAAAGUAUCUGAAAAAAGAUGGAAUAAAUAAGUGGAAAUCAGUCC
rnacentral:lncRNA from 1 species